rnacentral:rRNA from 1 species
GAUGAACGCUGGCGGCGUGCUUAACACAUGCAAGUCGAACGGUGAACGAGGGAGCUUGCUCCCUCCGGAUCAGUGGCGAACGGGUGAGUAACACAUGAGCAAUCUGCCCUGGACUCUGGGAUAAGCGUUGGAAACGACGUCUAAUACCGGAGACGACGCGUGGGGGCGUCCCCAACGCCCGGAACGAACCUCGGGCCAGGAUGAGCGCGAGGCCUAUCGGCUUGUUGGUGAGGUAACGGCUCACCAAGGCGACGGCGGGUAGCCGGCCUGAGGGGGUGACCGGCCACACUGGGACUGAGACACGGCCCAGGCUCCUACGGGAGGCAGCAGUGGGGAAUAUUGCACAAUGGGCGCAAGCCUGAUGCAGCGACGCCGCGUGAGGGACGACGGCCUUCGGGUUGUAAACCUCUUUUAGCAGGGCAGAAGCGAAAGUGACGGUACCUGCAGAAAAAGCACCGGCUAACUACGAGCCAGCCGCCGCAGUAAUAC